rnacentral:rRNA from 1 species
GGAUCGAAUUGUUGGUCGUGCUUCGGUACGCACUGGCAUUAUCGGUUCCUACCUUCUGAAGAACCGCGAUGUCAUUAAUUUGGUGUCGUGGGGAAUCAGGACUGUUACUUUGAAAAAAUUAGAGUGUUUAAAGCAGGCUUACGCUUGAAUACAUUAGCAUGGAAUAAUGAAAUAGGACGUUCGAUCCUAUUUUGUUGGUUUCUAGGAUUGACGUA